UCAUUGACGUUACGUCAAGCAUUCCGUCAUUUUACUUCGCGACACCAUUGCUAUUGGACGAAUUAGGGAUCUGGUCUAACUUACCUUGUGGAAUUGCGGACGAAGCUGACAAGUGUUCUGAGUGACCGAGGGGACGCGGCUGUAGUCGAUUAGCAGGUGGCAAUUCGUAUGUCUUUUUUUGCCCAAAUGCAGUGCUUUUUGUUUCACCGACUGUUCGAGGACCCAUAGCGUGAAAUGUUGGUGUUUAACCGUGUAAUGUUCAAAAAAUUUAUGUUAGAAAAAUAAGCGCAGAAAAUGAAAUAAAACUCCCAAUUUAACUUUA